rnacentral:hammerhead_ribozyme from 1 species
AUCCAGCUGACGAGUCCUGAACAGGACGAAACGCGCGUCCUGGAU